GAUUGUGCAACCCAGGAAAACAAAUAAUCCGCAUUUUAGCUGGGAAGGCAGCUUGCUUUCGAUAUUAACGUGCAGAGAAAUGGCUGGUUCGGGAGGAGAAAGCAACCAUCAAAGGACGGCUUCAGAUCCUGCCAUUGGCCCGGAGACGCCGGUGUUGCGGAUCAGCCAACUGGAUGCCCUUGAGCUGGACUCGAACCUUGAGCAGCUACUGUGGACCCAGUUCACUCAGUGCUUCCAGAACUGCCGCCCAGGUGUUCUCACCCCCGUGGAGCCCGAACUGAAAGCUCUGCUUUACCUGCUGCUUUGGAGGUUCACACUGUACUCCAGCAAUGCCACAGUGGGACAGUCUUUACUGAGCUUGCGCUACCAUGACACAUAUUCAUCGUCUCCUUUGUACACGCCGCUCUCCUCCAGGCAAAAGUUGGGGCUGGCCAUGCUCACUCUACUUCCUCGUUGGCUCCAGGAGCGUUCCCACCACUUUUUGCCAUGCUUGGGUUUAGGUUCAAGAGGAGCCGCGUCUGAAAGUGACGACAGUUUGCUCCGGCUAGGUCUCCGCAACUCCCUGAUCCUUGUUUCUGGUUUAACAAAGUUGGCUAGUCUCUUCAACUUCCUUGUUUUCCUAAGGAAUGGACGGCAUCCCACUCUAGCUGAAAGAAUCGCAGGAGCUCUGACUGUUUUCAGUAAGCCUAACGUGGUCAGAGAUGUGCCUUACCAGUACAUGAACCGGGAGCUGCUUUGGCAUGGCUUUGCCGAGUUCCUGAUCUUCCUGUUACCACUGAUCAACGUAAGGAAGCUGAAAGCAGCUGCGCUGUCCUGUGUGUUUGGGAACAGCUCUGAUAAGAAAGGAGCAAAAGAAGGGAAAGACGUGUGGAAAGAGUGUGGACUAUGUGGGGAUUGGCCCACCAUGCCUCAUACUGUGGGCUGCCAGCACGUGUUCUGCUACUACUGCAUCACAAGCCACAGCAUUGCAGAUGCAAACCUUACUUGUCCCAAAUGUGGCGCCGAAGCAGGCGCGCCUGAGUCGGUCAAGAUGAGCGUGCAAAUUGUGGAAAGGUGAUGAUCACUUCUUGUAAAGAGACUCCGGUGAUAAAGAAAUCAGUCCGGUAUUUUCUGUCGUUUCUCUUUUCCGAGACUUUGUCACGUAUGAGUUUAUGAAUAGAAAUAUUAUUAUGCUCUCUUUUUUUUUCUGAGCACACACUGGUCUGCUGUGUUUGAUGUAUAUGUGCACAUAUUGACCGACUUCUGUGCCCCGUUUCUCAAUCUGGACUUUGAAUAGAAUUAUUUGUCUUGGGUGAACUGGACAGACUACAGAGAACCACACAGAGCAUAUAUUUGACGAGCGAAUGUGUUGAUUUAUGCUCCAAAUUGGCUCUGUGAUGAUGAGCGUGGAUGUGUGUGUGUGUGUGUUGAAAUGGGAAUAUUUGUUCUGAUGAAAAAUGCAGGAGGAAUUUCUGAUGCCUCUCAUCAUGGCCAAAUUAGCAUUUGUUGUGUAUUUUGUGCCUAAAUUGUAUUUCAACAUCAUUAAAAUAGAGCGCUACCUCUUGGGUGUUUGUUUAGUUAAGUGGAGGAGAGAGCGAUGAGGGGAAGUUAGAACAAUCAGUGCUCUUCUCACCAGACAGGCCCGGUCGCUCUAACUCCCAUUAUCCGUUUUCACAGCACCCCAACAUGCUCGAGAUCAAGGGGGCAGCCGGGGGCUUGGAUUGACUCGCACACACUUGACAGCCGUCCUCUCUUUUCCCUUGGCCUUUCUCUCUUUUGCUGCCUUUCCAUCUCUCUCCAUCUGUAAUCUCAAGGGCCCUCGCCCCUAUAAGACUGUAGUAAACUGUACCAAAACCCCGGCAGUCGUCUCCUUCCUCGCAGGCGAAUUACUCUCUAAUCCCUGUAAUGAGUCCAAAGAUGCUUAUUUAUGCUGGAGUUAACCUCCACCAGUGAGCCCAGCCCCAGGCCAAACUCACCCCAGCUGAGUGAAGCCUUUCCUCGGCUGACAAGAGAGGAGAGGGAUGGAAAAGGGGGGGGGGGGGUCCCACCUCCUCUUCCCACCCCUUUCGCCUUCUCUGAUCACUAGUACUUAAAGAGCAAGUCACCCCCAAAUCAACUUUUUUUUGCUGACAAACUAUAUAAAUGUGUGUCUAAUUGUGCUGCAGACACAUGUCGUCAAUAAUUUGGCACUUCAGUGCAUCUUAGUUAAAAUUGAAAUAUUCUGCCUAAAACUGUCAGUGUUGCGCCGUUGUCAGGUAAAAACUCAGCACUGCAUUUGAAUUUAAAUCUGCCACCGCUAUUGGCUAAGAGGUAUGCUAUGAUGUAAACUGGUACAUUAUGAUGUCACAGUGCCGUUGUGAGCCUGAGUGUGUGUGUGUAUUUGUUAGUGGCUCCGCCCUCUCGGUCUGCCAGGCAACAGCAUUUGUUGCACUUUUCAAACAUGAAGAGGGAGUGAAGUAAGUUUCUUGUAGGGGGUGACUUGCUCUUUAAUUGCUGAUUGCCUGGACGGUCAAUCGGAACUGCAGGCACGAUACGGAGCCUAUCGAGGCAGAAGCUGGUCUCGGAUCAGAUCUAGAACCUAUUUUUUGUACUCAAGCUGGCUUUUUAGCUGGUCACAGAGGCUGUGGCAUAAAAUAUUUGCGGUACACGGGUGCUCUUGAGAAAUACUCGUCUUAAAUUAUUUAUACCACUGACCAAUGUGAUCUUUGUCCUAGAAUUUCUGCAUUUCUCUAUGACGAAUGUAGUUUGUGGGCAUGCAAGGCUGAAACGAAUCAAUUGUAUGUUUAAAAACAACUAUGGAAGUAAUAAUAUAGGAUCUCGCGUGCUCAAAAUAAGUGUAGGAGUAGAAGUGUUAACAUCCUAGGUGAUGAUUGGGUCAAUAAGCAUGUGGAAAACACAGACAUCAUGGCAUGAAACCUCGGACGUUCUCUUUCCCACAAAGGACAUUUUAACUAAUGAAUUCAACUCUAAUGCACAUAAAGCCCAAGCCAGGAAAAGACCGGUUGUCAAUAUUUUAUGCACUGCAAUACAUUAAUGUGAGGCAAGUCCCAGAAAGUGAGAUUAGGGAGAUGUUCGAGAUUAAGGAUGCAUAUAUGAUCAACCUUAAUGCCUCUGGGACAUGUCAUUGUCUUAACAUUCAGACAGACUUACAAUCCAAACCUUUUUGCCGAUAUUACUCUGCAGCUCUAAUUGAAGUCCCCAAUCCCCGGGAAAGAGACAAGAUAAGGAAGAAACACUGCAUUAAAGUCUAUUAAUUGAGUUAGAACAUGUAUUAAAUUAGCUGGAAGUUGGAACAGGGUUCUGGAUUUAAGCAAGGUAGCUAGGGCUCAGAAAAGCCUAUCUUGUCUUUGGAUCUUUUCUAAUUCGCAGGCUCCGUGCAGAGAAGAAAAACGAGGAAGACGCCCACAUUCCCAGCGGCAGCGCAAAGCAAUCUGCACAUUCACACGCAGCCAUUUAGGGAGCAAAUUGGCCCUGUGCCCCCUCUGACGAUGGGUUUAAGAGAAAGGGAAUUAGGGCGUUGAAUCCCUAACUGGAUCUCCUUCUUUGAUGAGUCUCUUUAUCCGCCUGUCCCUCAUCUCCAUUCCUUUGAUGUGAGGCGUUGAUUUUCCUGAUUAAAUAGUUUUUAAAGUAAAAAGCUUUUCUCUGGGCUCUGUAAUACUGGGUACUUUACUGCACCUAUUGUAGGUUCGUUUGUGUGCUUGCUUGUUGAAUGGUCCGUCUGUGGCAUUCCUUAAUUGGAACAGAGCCCUUGGCCUGCUGAUAAUGGCGAGGAUAGUACAUGCAUAUUUUUCUCUCUUGGAAAGAAUAUCAUUAAAAGCUCAUGCUUGGCUUUUACCUCUUCAUUUGAAAUGGCUAGAAGGACCCAGAUAGCCUCAUGGUUCACCAAUCUGUGCUUUUUCACUUCAACAAAAUUCCAUCUCUGAUCCUUCUACUGAUGGUGUGAGCUUCCAUCUCCUCUCAACAGGGUGGUGGUCCCCCCUAUCCGGCCACGCUCCUGAACAAUCAUUCCCCAUCACGCGCUCUGCGCUCCUCUGACCAAGGCCUGCUCGUUG